rnacentral:rRNA from 1 species
GAAAGGACGGGUAAUACCGGAUACCCCGGGGUGCCGCAUGGCACCCCGGCUAAAGCCCCGACGGGAGGGGAUGGCUCCGCGGCCCAUCAGGUAGACGGCGGGGUGACGGCCCACCGUGCCGACAACGGGUAGCCGGGUGAGAGACCGACCGGCCAGAUUGGGACUGAGACACGGCCCAGACUCCUACGGGAGGCAGCAGUGGGGAAUCUUGCGCAAUGGGGGGAACCCUGACGCAGCGACGCCGCGUGCGGGACGGAGGCCUUCGGGUCGUAAACCGCUUUCAGCAGGGAAGAGUCAAGACUGUACCUGCAGAAGAAGCCCCGGCUAACUACGUGCCAGCAGCCGCGGUAAUACGUAGGGGGCGAGCGUUAUCCGGAUUCAUUGGGCGUAAAGCGCGCGUAGGCGGCCCGGCAGGCCGGGGGUCGAAGCGGGGGGCUCAACCCCCCGAAGCCCCCGGAACCUCCGCGGCUUGGGUCCGGUAGGGGAGGGUGGAACACCCGGUGUAGCGGUGGAAUGCGCAGAUAUCGGGUGGAACACCGGUGGCGAAGGCGGCCCUCUGGGCCGAGACCGACGCUGAGGCGCGAAAGCUGGGGGAGCGAACAGGAUUAGAUACCCUGGUAGUCCCAGCCGUAAACGAUGGACGCUAGGUGUGGGGGGACGAUCCCCCCGUGCC